rnacentral:misc_RNA from 1 species
CGAAAUGCGAUAAGUAAUGUGAAUUGCAGAAUUCAGUGAAUCAUCGAAUCUUUGAACGCACCUUGCGCUCCUUGGUAUUCCUUGGAGCAUGCCUGUUUGAGUAUCAUGAAAUCUUCAAAGUAAAUCUUUUGUUAACUCAAUUGGUUUCUACUUUGGUAUUGGAGGUCUUUGCAGCUUCACCUGCUCCUCUUUGUUCAUUAGCUGGAUCUCAGUGUUAUGCUUGGUUCCACUCGGCGUGAUAAGUUAUCUAUCGCUGAGGACACUGUAAAAGGUGGCCAAGGUAAAUGCAGAUGAACCGCUUCUAAUAGUCCAUUGACUUGGACAAUACUUUUAUGAUCUGAUCUCAAAUCAGGUAGGACUACCCGCUGAACUUAAGC